rnacentral:rRNA from 1 species
UACAGAGGGGGCAAGCGUUGUUCGGAAUUACUGGGCGUAAAGGGCGCGUAGGCGGCCUGUUAAGUCGAACGUGAAAUCCCCGGGCUCAACCCGGGAACUGCGUCCGAUACUGGCAGGCUUGAAUUCGGGAGAGGGAUGCGGAAUUCCAGGUGUAGCGGUGAAAUGCGCAGAUAUCGGGAAGAACACCCGUGGCGAAGGCGGCUCUCUGGGACGGUACUGACGCUGAGACGCGAAAGCGUGGGGAGCGAACAGG